GACGAACGCUGGCGGCGUGCUUAACACAUGCAAGUCGAACGGAAAGGCCCUGCUUUUGUGGGGUGCUCGAGUGGCGAACGGGUGAGUAACACGUGAGUAACCUGCCCUUGACUUUGGGAUAACUUCAGGAAACUGGGGCUAAUACCGGAUAGGAGCUCCUGCUGCAUGGUGGGGGGUGGAAAGGUUCGGCGGUUGGGGAUGGACUCGCGGCUUAUCAGCUUGUUGGUGGGGUAGUGGCUUACCAAGGCUUUGACGGGUAGCCGGCCUGAGAGGGUGACCGGCCACAUUGGGACUGAGAUACGGCCCAGACUCCUACGGGAGGCAGCAGUGGGGAAUAUUGCACAAUGGGCGGAAGCCUGAUGCAGCAACGCCGCGUGCGGGAUGACGGCCUUCGGGUUGUAAACCGCUUUCGCCUGUGACGAAGCGUGAGUGACGGUAAUGGGUAAAGAAGCACCGGCUAACUACGUG
rnacentral:rRNA from 1 species